GGGUCAGUAGGUUGGUCGUGCCACCGGUACGUACUGGUCUCACUGAUUCCUCCUUCCUGAAGAACCGUAAUGCCAUUAAUUUGGUGUUGCGGGGAAACAGGACUGUUACUUUGAAAAAAUUAGAGUGUUUAAAGCAGGCUCGCGCUUGAGUACAUUAGCAUGGAAUAAUGAAAUAGGACGAUCGAUCCUAUUUUGUUGGUUUCUAGGAUUGACGUA
rnacentral:rRNA from 1 species